GUAUUAGUGCGAAUGAGGCGACCACGCAAAGACAAGGAUGAAGAAGAAAUGAUAGUUCUGAAAAUUUCUAAUGAUUCUUUGACAAUCAACGAGAAAAAUUUUACAUUCGACUCGGUUGCAGAUUGAGGCAACGCACAUAUGUUCCAGCUUAUGGGAGCACCACUUGUUGAAAAUUGUAUGACAGUGUUCAACAUUUCCAUUUUUGCAUAUGGACAGACGGGAUUUGGGAAAUACUUGUAUGCCCGGCCAAAGCAUUGUUGGUUUGAAAGCAUUUCUAUCAAUCAACAAGGUUUAACUCCUCAAGUUUUUGAGCGUCUCUUUGUUCGUAUA